GUGAGGAAUAUUGGUCAAUGGACGAGAGUCUGAACCAGCCAAGUCGCGUGAAGGAAGACGGUUCUAUGAAUUGUAAACUUCUUUUGUGCAGGAAUAAAGUGGGUUACGUGUAACCUUUUGUAUGUACUGUACGAAUAAGGAUCGGCUAACUCCGUGCCAGCAGCCGCGGUAAUACGGAGGAUCCGAGCGUUAUCCGGAUUUAUUGGGUUUAAAGGGUGCGUAGGUGGAUUGAUAAGUCAGCGGUGAAAGUUUGCAGCUUAACUGUAAAAUUGCCGUUGAAACUGUCGGUCUUGAGUGCAAAUGAGGUAGGCGGAAUGUGUUGUGUAGCGGUGAAUGCUUAGAUAUAACACAGAACUCCGAUUGCGAAGGCAGCUUACUGGGAUGCAACUGACACUGAUGCACGAAAGCGUGGGUAUCAAACAGGAUUAGAUACCCCAGUAGUCC
rnacentral:rRNA from 1 species